AUGCAGAACUGGGCAGCAGCCUCGUUGAUGGUCAGCUGUGGCAAGAGGACAGCCAAUGCGGCCGUAGAUGACGCUGUACUUCCGGAUCUCCUCUUCCUUCUGGGCGUCAUGAUCGUCCAUCUCAAAGAUGUGCCCCACGCUCCGCGCCAGCUUCUUAUUCAGCUUCAACAGGGAUGCGAUCUCUCCAGUGUCACCCCUGGGGAAACUCCGGAAGAUCCUCUCCACACUCUCCACCACCAUUCGCACCAUCUCUGGUUCCAGGCGGUCUGGACCACCCCCUGCACCACCAGCUGCCACCCCCCCAACCCCAGGCCCUUCAGAGACUCCUCCCCCUGCAGGUGGGGAGAAAGGGGGAGACCCGGCCUCCUCUUCUCCCCCUGCUCCAACAUCAGAUUCUGGAGUGCUCUGGCCUGGCCAGAUCCGGGGAUCCCCUGCCCCAGGUCCUCCAGGGAGUGGCGACAACUUCUCUCCAAGUUCGAGGGGACUCUUGGGGCUAAAGCUUCGAGCACUGCCCGCCUUUUCUCCUGGGCUGCCGUGCCCAUUGCUCAUGCUCCCUUUCCGGGUACCAGCUGUCUCAGAGAUCUUGAAAAGUGGGAUGCUGGAGACGGGCACAGCAGGCACUGGUUGGCUGAAGAGCCCUGGAUUGGUGGCCCAUUCUCUCAGAGCCUUCUGUAGACGUCGGACAUGGAGUGGUUUGGUGGCCAUGCCCACGAGUGCCAUGAUUUCCAGGAACUCCUCCUCGCCAGCCUCACACAGCUGCUGUACAUCAUCUCCUCCCUGCUGGAUGAAGGUCUCGUAGUAAGAGAGGAGGUUGGCGCGUUGCAGGACCCGAUACAGCUGUAGCUCACCCAGUGUCCGAGGCAGUGCCAUGGCUGGGGCACUUGCCCUGAGGAGAAAGGGCAGGAGAGAGGCAGUGAGUAUGAGUGCCCUGCUGGGGUACCAACCCACACUAACAACUGCCCUCUUUCCUGGACAGUGCCCUCCGAUCCCCAGGAGCACAGAAGGCCGGUUGCCCGACCUAAGCUAUCAGGAAAAACACUUACCUCGUCUUUUACUUUGAUCUUUCUGGUCUGGGCAGCACCAUCUUGAGCCCUGAGACUUUUCAUAACUUCCCUGAAAUGGCUGGACCCACUUCCCUCCCAACUAAGUCCUUACCUCUUCCCCCUAAAUACUCAGCAGCCUCAACAUUACUUAAUGUAACAUCCCAUAUUAAAGUUAACUUAGAAUACUAA
ensembl:antisense Gm16229 predicted gene 16229